rnacentral:rRNA from 1 species
UUGUAAUUUGCAGAAGGUGUUUCGGGCGCGACGACGGUCCAAGUCCCUUGGAAUUGGGCGUCAUAGAGGGUGAGAAUCCCGUAUGGCACCGUCCGUCAACCCCAUGUGAAGCCCUUUCGACGAGUCGAGUUGUUUGGGAAUGCAGCUCUAAAUGGGUGGUAAAUUUCAUCUAAGGCUAAAUACCUGCCAGAGACCGAUAGCGCACAAGUAGAGUGAUCGAAAGAUGAAAAGAACUUUGAAAAGAGAGUUAAACAGUACGUGAAAUUGUUAAAAGGGAAGCGCUCGCAAUCAGACUCGAUUGCAGGGGUUCAAUCGUCCUUUGGGGCGGUGUAUUCCUCUGUUUACGGGCCAGCAUCGAUUUUGGCGGUCGGAUAAAGGUCUUGGGAAAGUAGCUCUCCUCGGAGAGUGUUAUAGCCUGAGGCGCAAUGUGACCUGUCGAGAUCGAGGAUCGCGCUUUUGCUAGGAUGCUGGCGUAAUGGUUGCUAGCGACCCGUCUUGAAACACGGACCAGUGAGUUCCACUUAUUCUGUUCUUCUAUUAAGUUGCAAUUACUAACAGCUUGCUUCAGAGGAGUCGACCAAUCGCGCGAGUGUUUGGGUGUAAAACCCAAGCGCGCAGUGAAAGCAAACGUAGGUGGGAGCCUUUGGGCGCACCAUCGACCGAUCUUGAUGUCUUCGGAUGGAUUUGAGUAUGAGCACGGUCGGUCGGACCCGAAAGGUGAGUUCCAAUUUUCCGCAUAUAUUCGCUGGGUUUGCUGACUUUUACAAGAUGGUGAACUAUGCGUGAAUAGAAUGAAGCCAGGGGAAACCCUGGUGGAAGUUCGCAGCGGUUCUGACGUGCAAAUCGAUCGUCAAAUUUGCGCAUAGGGGCGAAAGGUAUGUUCAACUUUCAAUUAGUUAUGGCAGCGCUGGGUCGGUGGAUUUGCUAACUCUCUGCCAGACUAAUCGAACCGUCUAGUAGCUGGUUCCUGUCGAAGUUUCCCUCAGGAUAGCAGCAACGAGAAACAGUCUCAUGAGGUAGAGCGAACGAUUAGAGGCCUUGGGACAGCAACUGUCUUAACCUAUUCUCGAACUUCGAAUAUGUGAGAAGUCCUUGUUACUUAAUUGAA